rnacentral:rRNA from 1 species
GUUUCAGCAGCCGCGGUAAUACGGAGGGUGCAAACGUUGCUCGGAAUCAUUGGGCGUAAAGCGUGUGUAGGCGGCCUGUUAAGUCGGGUGUGAAAGCCCCGGGCUCAACCCGGGAAGUGCAUUCGAUACUGGCAGGCUUGAGUACGGGAGAGGGUCGCGGAAUUCCCGGUGUAGAGGUGAAAUUCGUAGAUAUCGGGAGGAACACCAGUGGCGAAGGCGGCGACCUGGACCGAUACUGACGCUGAGACACGAAAGCGUGGGGAGCAAACAGGAUUAGAAACCCGUGUAGUCC